GACGAACGCUGGCGGCGUGCCUAAUACAUGCAAGUUGAGCGCUGAAGGUUGGUACUUGUACCAACUGGAUGAGCAGCGAACGGGUGAGUAACGCGUGGGGAAUCUGCCUUUGAGCGGGGGACAACAUUUGGAAACGAAUGCUAAUACCGCAUAAAAAAUUUAAACACAAGUUUUAAGUUUGAAAGAUGCAAUUGCAUCACUCAAAGAUGAUCCCGCGUUGUAUUAGCUAGUUGGUGAGGUAAAGGCUCACCAAGGCGAUGAUACAUAGCCGACCUGAGAGGGUGAUCUGCCACAUUGGGACUGAGACACGGCCCAAACUCCUACGGGAGGCAGCAGUAGGGAAUCUUCGGCAAUGGACGAAAGUCUGACCGAGCAACGCCGCGUGAGUGAAGAAGGUUUUCGGAUCGUAAAACUCUGUUGGUAGAGAAGAACGUUGGUGAGAGUGGAAAGCUCAUCAAGUGACGGUAACUACCCAGAAAGGGACGGCUAACUACGUG
rnacentral:rRNA from 1 species